rnacentral:rRNA from 1 species
UACGUAGGGUGCGAGCGUUAAUCGGAAUUACUGGGCGUAAAGCGUGCGCAGGCGGUCUUGCAAGACAGGUGUGAAAUCCCCGGGCUUAACCUGGGAACUGCACUUCAGACUGCAAGUCUGGAGUACGGCAGAGGGGGGUAGAAUUCCGCGUGUAGCGGUGAAAUGCGUAGAGAUGUGGAGGAAUACCGAUGGCGAAGGCAAUCCCCUGGGCCGAUACUGACGCUCAUGUGCGAAAGCGUGGGGAGCAAACAGG